GGCCUAGCCACCGGUGACGGCGGGACUCUCUGGGAGGCCGGCGGUCCUCGGGUGUAGAGGGAGACAGCUGCCCGGGGGCACGGGCGAGCACCUCUGGGGGUCCCGGAUCCUAGACCCGCGGCCCCGGGGUGGCGGUGACGCCUGGAGUCGUGCGGGCUUGGCUGGGCCGGGCUCUUGGGGCAGCCAGGUGCCGCUGCUGGCGUCUAGGCCACACCACCCUGAACGCGCCGGCUCGCCUCUGAUCUGUUGAAGCUAAGCAGGGUCGGGACUGUUUAGUACUUGGAUGGGAUUCCGCCUGGUAAUAGCGGUACCGUAGGCUUUUGGCUUCCCGCUCCCUCCCUCUUUCCUCCUUUUGUCUCCGUGCUUCCCAACUGCCCCCCGCCUCUGCUCCCGGUUGACCGCCCCCGCGCCCCAGCAGAAGCCCAGGUCCUCCUCCUGAAGAUCCGCCACUGCAGCACCGCCAGGCAGCAGCAUCCCACCUCUUCCGACUCGCGGCAGCCCCACCCAACCCGGGCGGGACGGGACCAACCCCGAGGGUGCAGGCGCGGGUUCCCUGAGGUCCCGGGUGUCUUCACGCUCCCCGGACUCCCAGGCAAUUGUAUUCAUUCAUUCAGCGUCACUGCAACCGUCCAAGCCGGUGGAAGGGGCGAGCAGGGGCAGCGGGUGCCACAGACCCCAGCCAAGACCUCCGCUCCAGAACCCGAGGGCUGCUUUCCCCAGAGGAAGGACAUUUUCUUCGCCAGCCACGAGGAAAACCGUCCCUGUGCACCCUGUUUCCCAAUGCCACCGACUUCGUGUAAACUCCAGUCCGGAGGACAGGAGAGAGACCCAGGCCUCGCCCCGUGGACAGGCUCGGCGCCACGGCUCCCGCCAGACACAGGAGCACACUCUACAAAUCUCGGGGCCCAUCGCAUCAAGGAGACAGAAAGAAGCAAACGAAGGACCUUAUGAAACACACCCCCAAAGCAACCAACCAAUCCAAGAAAAAAAAACACGUCUCAGGGCUCCAUUGGUUUUCCUGGCUGGGGGGCCCUGACCCCCUGUUCUAGCCCGGCCCAAGAACCCUGCACCCCACCCCGGCCUGCUGAAAGGUGCCCUGUCUACCUGAGCAGAGCCUCCCUCUCCAAGGCUCUGUCGCUGUCGCUCCACAACUCCCUCACCCUCUCCCUUUCUCUACUUCCCCCUCCACCUCGUGCUCUACUGUGGUGCUCUCUCUUCCCCCCUCUCUCUCUCCUCCCCCCUUUUCUAUCUCUCUCUCUCUCUCUAUCGCUGUCUCUCUCUCUCCCUCUGGUUCUAUUUCUCCAUCCCUCUCUCCUUUGCUUUCCUUCUGUAGCAGGAGGAGCUGCAGACAAAACCCCUCAGACACCGAGUUGUAGAAGGAAGGGCUUUAUUCAGCUGGGAGCAUCAGCAGACUCACGUCUCCAAAAACUGAGCUCUCCUAGUGAGCAAUUCCUGUCCCUCUUAAGGGCUUACAACUCUAAGGGGGUCCGCGUGAGAGGGUCGUGAUGGAUUGAGGAAGCAGAGGGUACGUGACUGGGGGCUGCAUGCACAGACAACGAGAGCGAAACCACAGAGAAAAGAAACAUCCCGUGCAUCACGGCCUGACAAUGGAUUCCUGUUUCCUGUACAAUGUGGAGUCUCCAAUAUAGCCUGUUUGAAAACUGGAAAGGAGAGCACCGACACGAUGCUGGUCUUCCACGCAUUCCUGGAAGUUUCUGGGGCCCCACAGAGCUCGCGAAACAAACAGUCAACAUGGUCACGCUUUCGGGGGGCAGAAACUUGAGCAACAGGCACCUUUACAGAGGGCAAAGAAACGUGGAAUCCAGAAUCACGCUUCAGUUGGCCUGGGUGUGACUCCUGUGUGGAUGGGACUAUCUGCCUCGAGCUCUGUUGCAGGGCUCAACGUGGGGAUAUGUCAUCUGUGAACCAUGUGGAUGAAAAACAGACAACUACCUGAGUCUCGGCUCAUUGCUCUCUGGGGAAUUCGCUCAUUCCUUCGGAAACGGAAUUGGUCUGAAUUGCUCCGGGAUGAAGUAACCCAGGCUGGUGAUCCAGAGGGCCGCUGAGCGCCCCGCCGGCCAACGGGGCUGUGGGCCCAGCACUCAGCCUGUACUGGGCACCCAACAUAUUCCCGGAGUUCUGGGUCCUGUUGGUUCUGGAGGCAUAAGACAUUUUUUGUCUCUGCCUUCUGUUCUCUGUUUCUUGCUCCUUUUGUCUCUCCGUCCAUCCUUCCAUCUGUUCUACCCUCCCUCCCCUGGCUUUUUCCUCCCUUUCUCCCUCCCUCCCUCUUUCUCUCCCUUCCGGGGUCCCUCCUUCCACCCAUCCUUGCCUAGCUCCAUCCUUCCAUCUCACUCUGUCUCUGUUCCUGUCCUCAUCUCUGCCUGCCUUCCCUCUUGCCUGGAAAGGGCAGCACCCUGGUUUGCGCGAGGUCUCGGGUCUUUAUUUAGUUGUAAGGCGCUCUAUGGUGCUGGCGAGGAGGCUGGCGGGACACGGGUUGGCAAGUGAUGGUGAGCGAAGAGGCGGAGGAGUUGAGCCACAGAAAGGAGAACUGGCCUGGAUUCUGCCCCGGCCCAGUGUUUCGCGGACUGAGGUCUCCGCCAACCCGAUUGAAGAACGCGGGGGGGAAAGGGAGGAGAGCUCCGCCUGGGCUAGUUAGAAGACUAGGCUGCUGCCUGGAAACCCGCGCAUGCGCAGUAGACAGCCCACCUCCCUGUACCUGGACCGGCCCUGGGAUCCCCGGGAUGCUCAGGAAUGCUUUCUUUUCAUUGUUGACAGCCCUACUCUGUGUGGAGUCUCUCGCUGGACCUGGAACUCAGGGAUCCUAGGGAGGUCAGCUGGAAGGGAAGACACGCCUCUCCAUACCAAGCCUGAGGUUCACUGCAAAAGAGAGGCCGCCGCCCUGCCCCCACCCUGCCCCCACCCUGCCCCAAACCCGCCCCAACCUGCUCCUCCAGCAGAGCCCUGUGUUCUUCCUGUCUGAGGAGUGGUUCCAGCAAAGCGGGCUCUUCCACGUCCUUCAGCUCCCCCAGUGGCGCCGGAUCUAGGAAAGGUUGUGCCUUUUGCUGAAACUCUGGGGUUGACAGGAGCUCAUCUAACAGGCUGGAGGUGAGUGCAGACGAGAGCCCCGGCUCCUGGAGCGGUUGGGAGGUGCCCGGUUGGCUGGCAUCUGCGCUUGACGCGGAGGCCUCCGGGGUCACGAGCUCGGGAGGUGAAGGUGCCCCGUCUUCGGGUUCCCAUGCCGCCCUGGCGACCUGGGGCUCCAGCCCCACCACGGACUCCGGUGGGACGUGGGUGGUGCAAGCACACCUUUCCCCUGUGACUCAGCUUGAGGGGCCCCAAGCUGUCCCACUGAGCACGCGCCCAGCAGGCCGUCGCGCUGUGGGUUCUGGUCUUCCUGUCAUUUGUUGGGGUUCGGAGGCCACCAGGGAGUCUGAGGAUGGGAGAGCCCCAGUUUCGGAGGGAGGGGCCAGGACAGUGAACACAAAGCCCCGCAUGCUCGGGCAGGUUGGGAGAGUCCUUCUGCCUGUGCAGCCUGGCUGGGCUGGAGCAGGGGGAUGACCCUUGCUUCCUGGCUCACGAAAGCCCCCUGUGGGAGAGCCCCAGGAGCGCAGGGCAUGUGGGGUGCAGGAAGCGACGUUCCCCACGCCCCGGUGUAGGUGAACCCGAUAGAGGAGGGAGGAGGGUGACACCCACCAGGGGUGCUAAUUAGUAACCACAGUGGCCUCAAAGAACUCAAAUGAAAGGAAGACUUGCAAGUCUCUCACUUUAAGUCCAGAGCUAGAAAUGAUUAAGCUUAGUGAAGAUGUAGAAUUUUCAUAGCUAGAGAGAAGUCAACACUUGGCUUCAGAACUUCAAAGGAUGGGCUGACUCUCUUUGAGGACCACUGCAGCUGGUGACUUUAGGUUACAGCCAGUGCUCAUUGACCACUCUGAAAAUCUCAGGGCCCUUAAGAAUUAUGCAAAAUCUAUUCUUUCUGUGCUCUAGAAAUGGAACAUCACUGUCUGGGUGACAGCACAUCUGUUAAUAGCAUGGUUUACUGAAUAUUUUAAUCCCACUAUUGAGACCUACUGCUCAGAAAAAAAAAAAAAACGAUUCUUUUAAAAAGAUUGUUGGUUGGCCAGGCAUAGUGGCUCAUACUUGUAAUCCCUGCACUUUGGGAGGCUGAGGAUCACCUGAGGUCAGGAGUUCAAGACCAGCCUGGCCAAAAUGAUGAAACCCCAUCUCU
rnacentral:lncRNA from 1 species